UCAAUCUGUUCUUCUUCUUCUUCUUCUUCUUCUAUCCACUGCUGGACGUAGGCCUCCCCAAUUCUUUUCCAUUCCGAACGAUCCGUUGCCGCUUGGUGCCAAUUUGUGCCUGGAAUUCUUUCUAUACCAUUAUUCCAUCUCUCUGUUGGUCUACCUCUAGGUCGUGUUUUAGGUGGUCUCCAGUUCAUGAUCUUUUGGUCCAACAUUCGUCCGUCCUUCUUGCAAUAUGUCCCGCCCAGCUCCACUUUAAAGUUGAUAUUCUUUCCAUGACAUCAACGACUUUUGUUU